rnacentral:tRNA from 1 species
GAAGACGCAUCGCUAAGAAGCUAAAUAGGGUCUAGCGUUAGCCUUUUAAGCUAAAGACUGGUGGCCCCCAACCACCCUUAGCGA